GUUAGACAGAGGUAGUUAUCAGUCAUCCUCACACUUAUAAUCCUCCAUCCCACCUGGAGGCCCCUCACAAGGGGCAUCCUAUACUCACCAGACUAUUAGGUCUCCCUCCAGAGCUGGAAAGCAGACUGUGCCCAGAGCUCAGCUAGGAAGCACGGAAACUUUCCUUGUGAGAAUGUGAAGAUGUUUGUCAUUUCCCUAUUGUAUUUUGGAUGAGAGGCACUAACAAGAGCAGCCACUGAAUGAGUGAUGUGUGCCAUGAGUCCCUGCAGUAGCACCCAAAUGCCCUCCAUUUUUCUUUAUCUCCAGCACAACCAUCUCCACCUAGAAAAUGGAGGAGUCCAGGGCCUAUGAGGUUUGGGGGGUUAUUCUUAUCUUUUAUAAAAUAUCUCUUUUCAGAGACAAAGCUCCUGCCUCCCAUAAAAAAAGUGUGGGAUUCAUUUGUGGAUGCCACAUUUUACCUGUGACUCAUUUCCUGCCCUAAGUUUCACAUCAGAUGUCUAUCUCCCUUGGUUUUUCUUCCUAUGGGUUCAUAGCUUCACGUGGUCUUGUGCUUUGUUUUAUUUUGUUUUGCUCUGCUUUGUUUGUGUGUGUUUUCAGAUGGUGCUAAGGGUCAGACCCAGGGUCUUUGCUAUGUUCAGUAAGUUCUCUGCCACUGAGCUUCGUUUCCGGCCCUCAAUGUGUCAUAUUGUCUCUCAUGUUUCCCUGUCCCUUUUCUUACUACAUAUGGGACCUUCUUUUCCAAUAUCCUAUGACCAUCUGUAGAAAGGGGUCCCUUGAAUGCAGGACUUGAAAAAGUACUGAUAUGGACUUUGCUGUCCUUAUAUUCAAGCUGGCUUCCCCACACAACACAAAGACACACACACACACACACACACACACACACACACUAUUAUCCUCACUUCCACCCCAUCUUGCUCUACCUCCCAGAGAGAACAACUGAAUAGCUCACUGUGAUGUGCCAAAGUUCCACCCUCUGAUGGACAGCAGUGUUUUCGGCUCCCUGUUCCUGGAACAUAGGUAACACGGCCCUCAUUCCCAAGGCUGAUGCUGUGAGCUCUCUACUGAAGGAUCCAGGACUACCCCUGUAACUACAGGUUCAAAAGUUAAGUCGUCUACCUUUGGAAGGAGAAAAUACAAAUCCUUGAAACCAAA